GUCCCCGUAGCUCAGUUGGAUAGAGCGGUGGUUUCCUAAACCGCAGGUCGCGCGUUCGAAUCGCGCCGGGGACA
rnacentral:tRNA from 1 species